AUGAACGCUGGCGGCGUGUCUUAGGCAUGCAAGUCGAACGAGAGUUUUGUAGCAAUACGAAACAAGAGUGGCAAACGGGUGCGUAACACAUUAGUAACCUACCCCAAGGUUCAGGACAACGAGUCGAAAGAUUCGCUAAUACUGGAUGUGGUCGGCCGAUUCGUCGGUCGAAAAAAGGCGCAAGUCGCCUUGGGAGGGGCUUAUGGUCCAUCAGGUAGUUGGUAGGGUAAUGGCCUACCAAGCCUAUGACGGAUAGCGGGUGUGAGAGCACGACCCGCCUCACUGGGACUGAGACACUGCCCAGACUCCUACGGGAGGCUGCAGUCGAGAAUAUUCCCCAAUGGACGAAAGUCUGAGGGAGCGACGCCGCGUGCAGGAAGAAGCCUUUCGGGGUGUAAACUGCUUUUCUUAGGGAACAACCCUGAGUGUACCUAAGGAAUAAGGGGCUGCUAACUUCGU
rnacentral:rRNA from 1 species